rnacentral:rRNA from 1 species
UACGUAGGGUGCGAGCGUUGUCCGGAAUUAUUGGGCGUAAAGAGCUCGUAGGCGGUGUGUCACGUCGUUCGUGAAAACCUGCAGCUUAACUGUGGGCGUGCGGUCGAUACGGGCAUCACUGGAGUUCGGCAGGGGAGACUGGAAUUCCUGGUGUAGCGGUGAAAUGCGCAGAUAUCAGGAGGAACACCGGUGGCGAAGGCGGGUCUCUGGGCAUUAACUGACGCUGAGGAGCGAAAGCAUGGGGAGCGAACAGG